AAAUGUAGAAAUGGUAAGGCACACAGCAUAUUGUUUCUUGUGCUUGCAUAGGCAAGGUCUUAACACUAUUGUUUUUUUUUUUUUUGCACUGGCUUAUUACGGCGUGGGAUGAAGAAGCGGGGCACUGCUGGGAAUGGAAUUGUAAUUAAAACAUCAGAUUGCAUACUCAUUUGAUGUUCCCGUUUUCACCUUGGGGAUUUUUCCUCGUAUUAACAUCUGCACAUAAAAAUGCAGACAACUGCAUCUGGUAUUGGAGGUCGGAUGACAUCCACUGGAAUAAUUCAGAACAUCUGGAUUCAGGACAGCAUUAAGGGAAUUGCUUUCGCUGUUUUAAUGGAUGCAUAUCUUUCAAAUGGUGGCAUUUUGCUGAACAUUUGAAUUCAGCAUAAUUUUGGAUAUCAUGCUACGAAUGCUUCAUUGUUGGAUGAGGAAAUAUUAUGGGGGAACAGGGGUCACCUCUAAUAUUUAAAACAUUCCGUUAUAACAACGGACCCUUUAUUAACUGGAAUUUAUUCCUGAAGAUCACUUAUUUCAUAUUGCGGUGGUGCCUUCUUAGUGCCGGGAGAGCAUCUCUGGGUCGUUUUAUUAUUUUUAUAGAAGGAUUUACACAAUGGAGAUACCUGGGUUUUUGGAUGCAUUUUAUUUGGGAUCGCUCUUUAGAUGGAGUACUACCCUGGUGUGUGUUGGGAAUAUUGCGUUUUGUGAUUCCUGUAGUCCCCCCAUUCUGUUUCCUUGCAUUUCUUUCUUUCUUUCCUUUGUGGAUUUAUUGGAUUAUUGCACCGUUGGGGAAACGCAAAAUAAAGCCAGGAUGUGCCACUGCCUUUAAAUACUCCUGCUCAUUACUAUGGACCUCUAUCUGGGUACUCUGCAAAGUCUCAACAAGAGUGUUCAUUUCAGGGUAGAAUAUUUCUGCAAAGAAUACAAGAGUUAUGGAACAGUGUUGGGAUGGAUACCUUUCCAAGGAUGAUCUUGUGAAAUCUAGAAUUUAAUCCCUAGAUCCUUUUGACAGUCAUGUGGCAUGAGAACAUGAAGAAGUUAAAGACCACGUUUUUCAAAAUAACCUGGACCUUUUUACAAUCUGACUGGCUGAGGCGGUACAAAAUGUUUUUCUUUCAUGGUGUCUUCACCAUUCAGUCUGAAAUGACAGUUUAACAGCAUACGUUCAUCAGACUACCUAUCCAGGACAGACGGUUACGGAUUACCAUUGUUAUUCUUGUGGCUGCAGCUAUGGAGUGCUGUUUGAAAUAUUGCAAGUGUUCAGCUGGCCAUCAGCUACUGCUGGUGCCAUUCUGUAAUUACCAGACGUGCUGAAUUCACCUAAUCCUGCUGCGGACCUAAUCCAGUACAUGUUCAAGACAAUGAGCCAUCAUGAGGGUGCAUCACACUGCUGCUUAAGGAGCUUUCUGUUUCCAGCCUACCUGUCAUUCCCCACUUGGUGAUAUCAUAAAUGACAACCAUGGAAAUCCACAGACUGCCAAUGUAUUGCCUGAGAUAUUGUAAGGUGCACAGAAGAGAACAUUGCCUGAUUGAAGUGCCAAGCGAAAGUGACUCAACUGUCUGUAAAUAUUUGGUCACAAGAACAAUAUGAUAACGGAUGGCCAAGAACAGCAGAGGAAUGUGCAGAUGUACUGAGUGUUUUAUUAUGGCAUAUGCUCCAAGCCGGCCAGGGGGUAUUCCAACACCACUUUAUUAAGUCUGAGUGUCACAGUGUAACUUUACUCCAGGUCACUUACUGUUACACAGGAAGUAUUAAAAUAUUGCUGUGCCUACACUGCCAUGCCUGUCAUGUGUAUAAUUUAAAAAAUGUAGUUUUAAUAAUAGACUUUUUUACUUUCCAAAUUUUAAAAAUUAUGUUUACAUUAAAAAUACUUCCCACUUGUAAAUUGUUAAACAAAGGUGUACCUGGUUCUGAUUAUAUGUCAUUGUUAAAUUCUUUUCAAUAUGCUAUUUUGAUUUAUGGCUUUAUUUGCAUGAAAAGUGGUAAGCUAUUGUGUGUGAAGAUGAAUGAAUUAAAAAAAAAGAAAAGAAA